UGUAAGCGUAUACCAAAGUUGUUGCAGUUAAAACGCUCGUAGUCGGAAUUUGGCAGUUCCGGAUGUGUGCACGUCGUGUGCGCACUUCGCGGGGAUUGCUUUUGUGGUCUUGCGUAGGAUGAGGCACUUUACUAGUGAACGUCCUCACGCAACCACUUUUUACUGUGAGAAAAUCAGAGUGCUCAAAGCAGGCAUUUGCCGUGAAUGUAUUAGCAUGGAAUAAUAGAAUAGGACUUGGUUCUAUUUUGUUGGUUUGUUGGGACUGAGUAAUGAUUAAGAGGGACAGUUGGGGGCAUUUGUAUUUCGGUGCUAGAGGUGAAAUUCUUAGAUUACCGAAAGACAAACUGCUGCGAAAGCGUCUGCCAAGGAUGUUUUCAUUGA
rnacentral:rRNA from 1 species